GCCAGGGAUGCAUCCCACCUGGAAUUUCAAGCCUAUGUCUCGGUUUCAGGGAAGCCUCCAGGUCCCUGGCCGUGGACUGUGGUCACUGUGGUGGCUGUGCUGUCAGCGAUGGUCAUGCUGUCUGCAGGGAUCCUGUGGUUUGCGCUGUCUAGGAGGAGGAGGGCCUUGCCCAGGAAAGCCGAGGAGGACCAUUACACAGAGCUCAAGCCCUAUGAAAACUCGGACCACUACUGUGUGAUCAAGGAGAGAUUUCUGGCUGAAGAAGAUGCAGGUA